UGUGGCGGCUUGCUGGGUGGUCCCACCCUGACCCCAUGCCGAACUCAGAAGUGAAACGCCGUAGCGCCGAUGGUAGUGUGGGGUCUCCCCAUGCGAGAGUAGGGAACUGCCAGGC
rnacentral:rRNA from 1 species